rnacentral:rRNA from 1 species
CAGCAGCCGCGGGAAAACGUAGGGUGCAAGAGUUAAUCGGAAUUACUGGGCGUAAAGCGUGCGCAGGCGGUUAUAUAAGACAGAUGUGAAAUCCCCGGGCUCAACCUGGGAACUGCAUUUGUGACUGUAUAGCUAGAGUACGGCAGAGGGGGAUGGAAUUCCGCGUGUAGCAGUGAAAUGCGUAGAUAUGCGGAGGAACACCGAUGGCGAAGGCAAUCCCCUGGGCCUGUACUGACGCUCAUGCACGAAAGCGUGGGGAGCAAACAGGAUUAGAUACCCCAGUAGUCCCUGUCUCUUAUAC